AAGAGGACCCAGAGCCUCUACAGAUUAAAGAGGAACAGGAGGAGCUCUGCACCAGUCAGGAGGGAGAGGAGGUUGUGCUGAAGGUGGAGGCUGAUACCUUUGUGGUGACUCCUACUGAUGAGGAAAGGGACCAUGUUGAACCAGAACCUGAAAGUGACCACCAGCUGCUGUUGAACAACUUUUAUACAGCUGAGAGCCAAGAUCAGAAAGGAUACGAGCAUGAAGACUCUACUAGAGAUGCAGAG